rnacentral:rRNA from 1 species
GACGAACGCUGGCGGCGUGCUUAACACAUGCAAGUCGAACGGAAAGGCCCUGCUUUUGUGGGGUGCUCGAGUGGCGAACGGGUGAGUAACGCGUGAGUAACCUGCCCUUGACUUUGGGAUAACUUCAGGAAACUGGGGCUAAUACCGGAUAGGAGCUCCUGCUGCAUGGUGGGGGUUGGAAAGUUUCGGCGGUUUGGGAUGGACUCGCGGCUUAUCAGCUUGUUGGUGGGGUAGUGGCUUACCAAGGCUUUGCCGGGUAGCCGGCCUGAGAGGGUGACCGGCCACAUUGGGACUGAGAUACGGCACAGACUCCUACGGGAGGCAGCAGUGGGGAAGAUUGCACAAUGGGCGGAAGCCUGAUGCAGCAACGCCGCGUGGGGGAUGACGGCCUUCGGGUCGUAAACCGCUUUCGCCUGUGACGAAGCGUGAGUGACGGUAAUGGGUAAAGAAGCACCGGCUAACUACGUG